ACUGAACGCUGGCGGCGUGCUUAACACAUGCAAGUCGAGCGGUAACAGGUGUAGCAAUACAUGCUGACGAGCGGCGAACGGGUGAGUAAUGCUUCGGAAUCUUCCUAGUAGUGGGGAAUAACCUGGGGAAACUCAGGCUAAUACCGCAUACGACCUACGGGUGAAAGCAGGGGAUCGCAAGACCUUGCGCUAUCAGAUGAGCCGAAGUCGGAUUAGCUAGUUGGUGGGGUAAAGGCCUACCAAGGCGACGAUCCGUAGCUGGUCUGAGAGGACGACCAGCCACACUGGGACUGAGACACGGCCCAGACUCCUACGGGAGGCAGCAGUGGGGAAUAUUGGACAAUGGGCGCAAGCCUGAUCCAGCGACGCCGCGUGUGUGAAGAAGGCCUGCGGGUUGUAAAGCACUUUUAGUGGGGAUGAAAAGCCAAGGGCUAAUACCCUUUGGUCUUGACCUAACCCAAAGAAAAAGCACCGGCUAACUCUGUGCCAGCAGCCGCGGUAA
rnacentral:rRNA from 1 species